GAGUUUGAUCCUGGCUCACGAUGAACGCUGACAGAAUGCUUAACACAUGCAAGUCUACUUGAUCCUUCGGGUGAUGGUGGCGGACGGGUGAGUAACGCGUAAAGAACUUGCCCUGCAGUCUGGGACAACAUUUGGAAACGAAUGCUAAUACCGGAUAUUAUGUGAGUUUCGCAUGAAAUUCAUAUGAAAGCUAUAUGCGCUGCAGGAGAGCUUUGCGUCCUAUUAGCUAGUUGGUGAGGUAACGGCUCACCAAGGCGAUGAUAGGUAGCCGGCCUGAGAGGGUGAACGGCCACAAGGGGACUGAGACACGGCCCUUACUCCUACGGGAGGCAGCAGUGGGGAAUAUUGGACAAUGGACCAAGAGUCUGAUCCAGCAAUUCUGUGUGCACGAUGAAGUUUUUCGGAAUGUAAAGUGCUUUCAGUUGGGAAGAAGAAAGUGACGGUACCAACAGAAGAAGCGACGGCUAAAUACGUGCCAGCAGCCGCGGUAAUACGUAUGUCGCAAGCGUUAUCCGGAUUUAUUGGGCGUAAAGCGCGUCUAGGCGGUUUGGUAAGUCUGAUGUGAAAAUGCGGGGCUCAACUCCGUAUUGCGUUGGAAACUGCCAAACUAGAGUACUGGAGAGGUGGGCGGAACUACAAGUGU
rnacentral:rRNA from 1 species